AUUGAACGCUGGCGGCGUGCCUAACACAUGCAAGUCGAGCGGUAACAGGUGUAGCAAUACAUGCUGACGAGCGGCGAACGGGUGAGUAAUGCUUUGGAAUCUUCCCAGUAGUGGGGAAUAACCAGUCGAAAGAUUGGCUAAUACCGCAUACGUCUGUAAAGGGAAAGCGGGGGCUCGUAAGACCUCGCGCUAUUGGAUGAGCCAAAGUCGGAUUAGCUUGUUGGUGGGGUAAUGGCCUACCAAGGCGACAAUCCGUAGCUGGUCUGAGAGGACGACCAGCCACACCGGAACUGAGACACGGUCCGGACUCCUACGGGAGGCAGCAGUGGGGAAUAUUGGACAAUGGGGGAAACCCUGAUCCAGCGACGCCGCGUGUGUGAAGAAGGCCUGCGGGUUGUAAAGCACUUUUAGUGGGGACAAAAAGCUACGGAUUAAUACUCUGUGGUCUUGAUUUAACCCAAAGAAAAAGCACCGGCUAACUCUGUGCCAGCAGCCGCGGUAAUACAGAGGGUGCGAGCGUUAAUCGGAAUUACUGGGCGUAAAGCGCGCGUAGACGGUUUUGUAAGUCAGAUGUGAAAUCCCUGGGCUCAACCUGGGAACUGCAUUUGAAACUGCAU
rnacentral:rRNA from 1 species